rnacentral:rRNA from 1 species
AGCAGUAGCCACGGUAACACGAGGGGUGCAAGCGUUAUUCGGAUUGAUUGGGUGUAAAGGGUGUGCAGACGGCUUAUUAAGUCACUUGUUAAAUUCUUCGGCCUAACUGAAGGUCUGCAAGUGAUACUGAAGAGCUAGAGGGUGGAAGAGAGAAGUGGAAUUCUCGGAGUAGCGGUAAAAUGCGUAGAUCUCGAGAGGAACACCAAUGGCGAAGGCAGCUUCUUGGUCCAUUCCUGACGUUCAUACACGAAAGCGUGGGGAGCAAACAGGAUUAGAUACCCCCGUAGUCCCUGUCUCUUAUAC